CUGAUUGAGCUUCCCUAGUCGUCUGUCGCUGCAAUGGAUGGGCGGAUUGAUGUGGUCGCUGAGAUCUGCAGCAGCAGUCACGAGAUAAAUGAGCUGCUACCUUGCCUGAUCCCCUCCCUGGCUCCACCCUUGUUUCUCCACCCUGGCUCCGAUGGAUUUGCUGGUUGUAUUGGAACGGAAGGAAGGCGUCUCUCUCCCCCCUAGAUCCAGCCUCACGGGGAGCUCAUGGCAUGAUAGUGUUGGGCUUCAUCGGCGCUAGCAAAUCGGCACAGCGUGGUGUCGAGAUCCCCUUCCAUUCCCCGAUCUGGAUCGCCGGAGUCGAGAUGUUAGGAGGCAGAGAUCAGAAAGAGUGGCAAAAUGGUUAUCUGUUGUUUGUUGUUCAUGACUCGAUUUUAUGUUGAAUUCGUGGUCCAUUGUCUUCGAUUGAGGCAUGUUAGGGUUCAAUUUUGGGGAUUCCUAAUCAACAUGUAUUUGUUGUCCGAAUCUGAUGGCAGGUGGUGUCUGGCAAGUGAUGUUUGCUUCUUUUACUGUCGGUGCUGCUUGCUUAUUUAUUCUUGUUUAUGUGUGCUGUCUCAAUUUAGGAUGGAUUGGUUGUGGCUGUAUGGCACAUUUUGUUAGCUAUUAUAGCUAGUUAUAAUGAUUCAUGGCUUCAUGCUUUAUUGAUGUAGUAUAGUGGUGCCUCUAGUAACGGGUUCACUAAUUUUAUUGGUGAAGAUAUGGAUAUGGUUUGGCAGGACUGCAGGACCAUGCAAGUAUCCAUGCUUUAUUGUGUCUGUAGCCUGAUUACACUCAAUCUAGAGUAGCUUUGUUUGUAGUUCUCAACAUAAUAAGUUUUCAAAUUUGAUUAAUGAGAGAGGCACUAUACUUUGACCUCGAAUCCACUUGUGAGAAAUUUGUUUAUUACAAAUUAUUUUGUGUUUCUAUUUGAAGCAAUUUUUUAUUAAACUCGAGACAAAAUGAUGGAUGUCGAGCACUAGCAAUCUAGCAUCAUUCCUAUGUUAAACUCAUUUCUAUAUUUUGGACUAGACUUAUGCUGUUGUAGCCUUGUAGGUACCAAUUACUCUUAAUUCAAUACACCUGUUCACAUAUCACUUAUCAAUGUCAUCUAUGGGAACAAACUUGUUGCAUUUGUCAUAGCCGUCAGGUUAGUGUUGGAUCUGGCUGUCACGGCUGCUGCCUCCUUGCCAUUUGGUUGUGUUUGUCACCUUUUGAGCUUUUCCAGAUCGAUCUGUUCAUCAGCUGCAGCACAAGACGUGGACAUACACAAACUUACACUCGAUGUGAGGCUUCUAAGUGCCAUACUCCAGAUACUCAAUAUGUGUACUGUGUUUGUGGAGGUGGUGUCCAGCACCCAGAUGUUUGAUGCUGUUUUCAAGGAGUGGGAAAUGUGAUUUGAAAGAUGUAGUCAAUACAGUAGCACUGACAUUCUUCUGCAAGCGCAAUAUUUUCCCUGGUAAAUCACCAGUAAGACGUACCAGAUUAUUGGUACCAGUGUUGAAACUCUAACUUUCUUGUCUGUCCAUUCUUUUCCUCGAUAUUGACAUGUGAUUUUCACAUUGUAUUAUAUUUGUGAGAUAUAAUAGACAACCUGUAUAGUACAUUCAUUAAUUUUUCAAGUGUUGCGGUGCUCUUGUUUCUUCGUGUAUACAUUUCCUGAAAGGUUUGGGAGCUAGCAGCUGUGCUCGCCAAGUGCUUGAUAAAUUCCAUAUUUCCAAGCGGCAGGAGACAAGUAGGCUACUUGUUGAUUGGAACUAAGAGAGCGGAUCAAGCCAUACUUUUUGCGACGCAUGAAAAGUGAAGCAUUCCUUGAUAGUGGUGCAUCAGAAGAAAAAACAUUAGCAAAGAAGAACGAGCUAAUUGUCUGGCUGAAGUUAACGGCUUGCCAGAGGAAGUUGUAUGAAGCUUUUCUAAAAAAUGAGUUGGUUCAUUUAGCUGUACAACCAAAGGGAUCACCACAGGCUGCAAUCACAGUGUCUUGGAAGAGAUGGAUUAAAUGCUCUGAAUGAUCGAGACAUAGGAAUGGUAGAAAAAAAUGGCCAUGAACCUUGCAGAUAUGGCUUAUGACGAUGCCGCACUAGAAGUUGGUCUGGAUGUCUCAUGCAAACUAUCAAUCAUCAUGUCCUUAUUGCGGAAGCUUUUCAAAGAGGGGCAUCAUGUUUUAAUCUUUUCGCAGACCCAUAAAAUGUUGAACCUUAUUCAGAAGGCCAUAUUAUUAGAGGGCUACAAGUUUUUGCGCACUGAUGGCACAACAAAGGUUUCUGAUCGGGAAAGGAUUGUGAAGGAUUUCCAAGAAGGUCCUGGAGCUCCAAACUAACCACACAAGUUGGUGGACUUUGACUUACAAUUACCAAGGCAGCACGUGUCAUAGUAGUUGAUCCUGCUUGGAACCCAAGUGUAGACAAUCAAAGUGUAGAUCGUGCUUACCGGUUUAGCCAGACCAAAGAUGUGAUUGUAUACCGCUUGAUGACAUCUGCAACCAUUGAAGAAAAGAUAUACAAUUACAGGUUCACAAAUAUCAGUUCUUACCUGCUGGUUUGUUGUAGCAAUUAUUAGGAGUAUGAGCUUUCUAUAAUGGUUUUACAUGGUGAAAAUUUUCUUACAUCCUUUUGUUUCUCUCUGCAACAUCAUAGACCCUACUACUGAAAUUUGAUUUCUAGGCGUAGAAUCCGCUACUGUUUUUUGUUGAUGUGAAUGUAACUUGUGUACUGGAUGUCCUUUUUACCAUGCUGUGCACACAACUCUUCUUUUUUCAUGGAUUUCUCCAGCUUUGUGCUUC